rnacentral:rRNA from 1 species
UUGGCGGCGUGGAUUAGGCAUGCAAGUCGAGCGAGGACAGCCAGGUAGCAAUACGAGGCUGAGCCGAGCGGCGAAAGGGACAGUAAGGCGUGGCUAACCUACCCUGGGGACUGGGAUAGCGGCCCUAACGGGCCGGUAAUACCGGGCGACGUGGCGAUGCGGCAUCGUGUUGUCACCAAAUGAAUUUCGCCCUGGGAGGGGGUCACGUGGUAUUAGCUAGUUGGUGAGGUAACGGCUCACCAAGGCAAAGAUGCCUAGCGGGUGUGAGAGCACGACCCGCGCCACUGGCACUGAGACACUGGCCAGACACCUACGGGUGGCUGCAGUCGAGGAUCUUCGGCAAUGGGCGCAAGCCUGACCGAGCGACGCCGCGUGUGCGAUGAAGGCCUUCGGGUUGUAAAGCACUGUCGAGGGGGAGGAAAGCCCGCAAGGGUCUGACCUACCCCUGGAGGAAGGAC